UAUUAUCGGCUAUAGUGGCAACAAACGUUAGCUCCAAGUUUUCACCAGCUCUUAACCAAUCAAGGUCGGCUGCU
rnacentral:tRNA from 1 species